rnacentral:rRNA from 1 species
GAUUUACUCAAUAAGUAUAUGUUAACGUUGUAUAGUUAUAUAUUGAUUUUUGAGUGGUAAUGAUAUGUUUAUCGAUUUUCAUGAUAGCUAGUUUAUUGAUGUGUAUAUUUAAGUAUUAUAGCGUUGAUAUAAUGAAAAUUAUUUAAUGUUAGUUUAUAGUAUGGGGGAUAAGCUUCAUGUAAUGGCAUAGAGAUUGUUAAUAUUUAUAAAUUAUUUAAGUAGAAUUAAUAAUGUUUUUCUUUGAAAGUAGUUUAAAUUGUGAAGAAUAUUAUGUUAGUCUCAUGUUAUAUAGUCAAUAAAUGUUUAUAAAUUUAGUGGUAGAUAAAUAUAAUGUUAGUAUGAGUAUUAGUUAGAAUUUUUAUAGUUAAUAUGUUUAAAAAUAUUAUAAUUGUGAAUGGUUUAUAUAAAGAAUAAGUUAAGUAAGGUGAAGGAAUUCGGCAAAUAUUAAUCUCGCCUGUUUAUCAAAAACAUGUCUCUUUGUGAAAUAUAGAUAAAGAG